UUGUGAUCUCCCAUCCAAGGUGUUGAACAGCUGAGACCGAACAUUCAUUGAAAGAAUCUCUGUAUGAAUCUGAGUAAGGACAUUAUGAGUUUGGAACCUGAUGGAUUUAUGAGAUGGGCCUGAGUUGGCCCAUCCGCUCAAGUUGGGCCCAAAAGGGCCCGGCCCACGGGAAUAGGGCCCGUGGAAGGGGAAGGUAUAAAAAGGAUGAGAGAGAGAGAGAAAACAACGUUUAAGAAAGGAACGUACGUCUUCUCCCGCGCGUUCUCUCUUCCUCCAAAAAGGAACAGUAAGUUCAAGGCACUGUUUUCUCCCCUUCAAGGCGUCAUCGGAUCGAACGGGGCUAGAAUUUCUUCCUCUUCUUCGGCAUUGGUGUUUAAUCUGUGGCUAACAAGGUACGCUCGAAUCCGUGGUGUGCUUUACGAUCGGUGAUGCGUGAUUUCCCGGGCUUCGCUUCCGCAUUGAUUUAGGGGUUCGAUUUAGUGUCGAAUCCGGUUUUCGGGGAUCAGUCAUUCCAACAUUGGUAUCAGAGCCCUAGUUCACGUUUUUCCCAAUCAAUUCUGAUGUUUUUUGAUUGUUUUUUCGCGAAAUCCCUUCGGCCGUACGGAACCGGGCAAAAAUCCCGACAGCCGAGCGCUUUUCGGCCAUUUUUUCGAGAUUUUGUAAGUCAAAAUAAAAUUUUGAUUACAUAGGAAGAAACGCGACGUCGAGACGAGUCCGGCGAUGUGUCGACCGCCGCCAGGAGACGCUGCACGCGCCCACACGCGCGGCCGGAAGGCGCUGCGCGUGGGCGCGACGCGCCCGAAGCGCUGGCAUUGGCCAGCGCGUGCCGAGCACGCGCCGGUCGGCGAACCGGCGCGUGCACGCCGCCGGCGGGCGAACUGGCACGCGCCGGUCCGCGGACCGACGCGUGCUGACGACACGUGCUGACGUCACGUGAUGACGUCACCGUGACGUCAUCCAACGGUCGGUAACCGUUCGGAUGACGUCACCGAUGACGUCAUCACUGACGUCGUUUCGCCGGGCGGUCACCGGCCGGCGACCCGACCUACCGGAGACCAAGGCACGUGGCAGGCACGUGCGGAUGACGUCUGCGUGACGUCAUCCCCCGCACGCGCGCGGCACGUGCUUUCGGUCCGCGCGAGCGGUCUGACCGGCCCGAGCGGUCUGACCGGUCCGACCGGUCCGUCCGGUCCGACCGGUCCGACGACCGUUGACCUCCGUUGACCGCCGACGACCGUUGACGACCGUUGACCGUUGACAUCGGUUGACCGACGACCGUUGACUUUGACCGUUGACCGUUGACCCGAAAAAAAAAAAAAAAAAAAAGAGAGGGAAAAGAAUGUGUUUCUUUUUCAAUUAAGUCUAUAUGGAUUAUAAUGUGAUCCCUUAUUUGUUCUGCAUUUGUUGCAGGAACAAUGCCUCCCCUGAGGUUGCGCACACCUAUUCGCGCAGUGACCGAUGAACAAAAGGAAAGGCUGUCUAAGUUGAUAGCUGAGCUGACUGAUCAUCAAUGGGAGAGUGGUGACUUAAUUGAUCACGUCCUUGAAGUCAACGGGAAAAUUCAACAGGUCAUAUGGAAUGGUCGUCCUAUGUCACAGUCAGAGAUGGUGCGAUUUUUCAUAAACACUCUUCCACCUGAAUGGCAAGAUGUGUUGAAUCGCAUAUGGGAUGUCAACGGAGCUGCUUCCUAUAAGAAAAUUGUGAUGGAUUUUGUAAAUGAAUAUUAUUGUAUUGUUUCGAGGGAAAAGAUCAAGAAAUUGAACAAAAAAGGAUCUUUCCCAGUUCGUGUGCUGACUUGGUGUUAGUUGUAUUGGCUGAUAUAUGUUAAGUGUGAUUUGUGGACAUAUUAUGUAAUGAUUACUACCUAAUUGUGUUAAUUGAAAGCAUUAUUGUUUUUAUUAGAUGUUCUAUUAUAUAUUACUUUCUGUUAUUGCUGGUUGCUGUGGGUAAUUAGCUAUGGGUAGUUUUAGAAGUUUUUGUAACUUCAUAGAAUUGACUUUGCAUAAGACAAUUAUAUUGAUGAUAGUUUUAAGUUAGGAUUUUGGAGGAUGAUUGGAAACAUAGUGACAUUUUGAUUCUGAAACCUUACUUGAAAUUAUUUAUUAAUAUGAUGGGUCUAUGUAAAAGUGGAUGCAUAAAUGAUAGGCAUUAAUAAUUCGUGCAUGUAUGUCUGAUGUGUUCAGAUCGAUAUUUUCAGCACUAAGAACGUAUUGCUGAUAUGAACGGCCACAAUUGUGAAAUNNNNNNNNNNNNNNNNNNNNNNNNNNNNNNNNNNNNNNNNNNNNNNNNNNNNNNNNNNNNNNNNNNNNNNNNNNNNNNNNNNNNNNNNNNNNNNNNNNNNAGCUCUUGACCAUAUUAUGGAAGAUCUAGAGGAUGCCGUGCGCCACCUUGAGCUAGUAGAGGACUGGCUAUCGGCAUUUGAGCCGAAAAUAGACAUAGGCUAUGCUGGUUCUAGCUCAGAAAGGGCUUUGAGCUCUAAGCGCAAACGUAUUGAUUCGUUCAAUAUGUGGGAAAGCAAAGGAUCAAGUCCUUAUUGCAAGAGAUCAAGAGUUAACCAACACAAGAGAGGAAAACGUCCUCAAGUGAGAAGUGAGGUGUUACAAUUGUGACAAGAAUGUCACUAUGCUCGCAAUUGUUGUGAGCCGAAAAAGGUAAACACCUCUUGUACAUUUGAGAACUUUGAUUAUGUGUCAAGUUCUGCAUUAUUAGCUGAAUCCAAUCCUUUGUGGACUGUAGAUUCAUGAGCAACAGAUGAUGUAGCGAAGGAUAAAGGAUCCUUCGUAGAAUUCCGACGAUACCAACUGGAACUAAGUGGAUCUAUGUGGGAAACAGCUCCAGAGCUGAAAUUAAAGGGAUUGGCACCUGCCAAUUGAACAUGCGUGGUGGACGCAACUUGUUCCUACAUGAUGUUCUAUAUGCUCUGGAGAUUCGUCGAAAUUUAAGUGUCUGUUUUGAUGCAUUGGUUAAGCUUGGUUUUUAGUAUGAACUUCCAUAAUAGAUGUGUAGAUUUGUAUUUGGAUACAAACUACUAUGAUUUUUUGGUCACUUUCUGGAUGGUUUUAUUGUACUAAAUGUUGACUGUGGUGAUGUCAAUAUGUUAUUCCCUUGUUUCAUGUCUUCUACUUUAUAUGAUAAUGAUGUGAAUAUGGUGGCAUGCUAGACUUGGUCAUAUGGGCCAACAACAUAUGAAAAGACUAGCCAAAGAGGGCUUGUUGGGCAAUAUUGAAAAAGUCGAUUUGCUUAUAUGUAAGCAUUGCCUAUAAGGGAAAACGACAAUGAAACCAUUUGGAAAAGGUAAAAGAGCUGAAUUUCCUCUGCAUUUAAUCUAUUCUGAUGUCUGUGGUUCAAUGAAUAUGAGAGGAAGGCAAUGGGCUGUUUGUUUCAUCACUUUUAUAGAUGAUUCUACUUGAUUUGGAUAUGUCUAUUUGAUUUCUCAUAAAUCUAAAGCAUAAGUUGUUUCAAAAAGUUUAUGAACCUGGUAGAGAAUCAAUUAGACAAGAAAAUAAAAGUAUUGAGAUCCGAUCGAGGUCAAGAAUAUUUAUCUGAUGAGUUCAGAAAAUUAUGUGAUGAAAAAGGAAUAGAAAGACAGUUGUCUAUUCCAUAUACUCCUCAACAAAAUGGUGUUGCGGAGAGAAGAAACAGAACCCUACUGGAAAUGGUUAGGUCCAUGAUGGUGUAUGCUAACUUACAUAUCACUUCUUGGAGUGAUGCGUUGUUAACUGCUGCCUAAAUACUUAACCGAGUGCCUUCUAAAUCAGUUAGUUCCACUCCAUAUGAGUUAUGGAUAGGUAGAAAACCGGACUUAGGUUUUCUUAAGUCAUGGGGUUGUGCUACCUAUAAUGAAUCCUCUCACAAAUUUGGGAAAUAUGGUCCCAAAUGAAAGAAGAGUAUUUUUAUGAGAUACUCCGAACACUCGAAAGGGUAUGUGUUCGUAGGUGAGCAGGAAAGUGGGAGUAUAACUGAAUUUGAAUCACGGGAUGUCAUAUCCUUAGUGGAUGAAUUUUCUAAGAGGGGCAAAAUAGGGAAAAUUACUCCCUAUUUGAAACCUUGGAUUAAGAUAAUGAUGUCAGUGGAGUUUGUCCAAGUGGGAGUAAUAUGAGAUGUAAUGAAUUGAAUUCAACUCAUUCUCAAUUGCAACCACCUGAAUGUGACGACAUCAUCAUUACCUAAUCCAAGUGGGAACAUGAUGGAGAAUGAUGUGCUAAGUGUACAAUCUUCCAUACGGUGAACAAGUCGCCAAAGUAUUCCCCGUCGACGUUUUGACAUUGAAGGGGAAACUUUUAUGGUUGCUCCACAAGAUGAGGAUGAGCCAAGAAAUAUUAAUGAGGCUCUGAAUUGCCCUAAUAAGGAAAUAUGGAUUUAUGCAAUGAAAGAGGAAAUGGAGUCAAUGAAAUCAAACCGAGUCUGGGAACUGGUUGAUCUUCCAAAAGGACACAAAGCUAUUGGGAACAAGUGGGUUCUCGAAAUAAAGCGAAAAGUUUAUGGCUCGAUAGAAAGGCAUAAGGCUCUCCUUGUGGCGAAGAGGUAUAAUCAACAGGAAGGAAUUGAUUAUUAAGAUACAUUUUCUCCUGUAGUAAGAUUUACCUAGAUUCGCAUUAUUCUGGCAAUAAUGGUUAGUAUGGAUCUUGAGUUACAUCAUAUGGAUGUAAAGACUGCUUUCCUCAAUGGAGAAUUAGAGGAAUAAAUAAAUAUGGAACAACAUGUUGGUUUCAUAGUAUGUCGACUUUGGAGGUCGAUAUAUGGUCUUAAGCAGUCAUCAAGACAAUGGUAUAUACGUUUUCAUAAUGCCAUAAUGGCAUAUGAUUUUAUGAUGAUUGAUGAGGAUCAUUGUGUAUAUAUCAAAAGAUCCUAGGAUCAAAAUUGUGAUCAUAUCAUUAUAUGUUGAUGAUAUACUAAUUGCCGGAAGCAAUAUGGAGUUGGUUAAUACUGUCAAGAGAUAGUUGUCUUCCAACUUUGAGAUGAAUGAUAUGGGAUUGUAAACUCAUAAACACUCCUAUUGCAAAAGGUGAAGGAUUGAGCCAUAGACUGUGUCCAAGGACUCCACAAGAGAAGGAACAAACAAAAUAUGUUCCUUAUGCUAGUGCUGUUGGGAGCUUGAUGUAUGCUAUGAUGUGUACAACACCCGACAUAUGCUUUGCAGUUGGAAUGGUGAGCAGAUACCAAUCCAAUCCAGGUCAAGCACAUUGGAAAGCCGUUAAGAGAAUACUGAGGUAUCUAAAGUGGACUGCUGAUUAUAUGUUGAGUUAUUAUGGAAAGGAUCUGCAACUCAAAGGCUAUUCUGAUGCUGAUUGGAGAGGAGAUUUAAUGAAAGAAAAUCUACCUCUGGAUUUGUUUUCUUACCGAAUAAUUGCACCAUAUGUUGGAGCAGUAAGAAACAAAAGUGUAUAGCCUUGUCCACGAUGGAAAUUGAGUUCGUGGCAUUAUCAGCAGCAGUAUAAGAAGAUGUUUGGCUUAAGAGAUUAUUGGAUCAUUUAGGUGUUAUUGGAAGUGCUGCAGAUUUGUUAUUAGUUAACUAUGAUAAUCAAGUAGCAAAAGUGUACACUAAAGAUCCAAAUAUCAUGGCAAGACCAAACAUAUAGAUACCAAGUAUAAUUUUGUCAAGGAUAUGGUUGCACGAAAGGAUGUGAACUUAGAGUACAUGCUACGCAUAGAAUGGUUGCAGAUCCUAUAACAAAGCCAAUACCUAGAGAUGUACUUUGUGGCCAUGUGAAAUCUCUAGGACUGCGUAGAGACUGAUGUACUAAAUAUUGUAAUUUCCCUAAGUGUUCACAAUUUGAUGAAUUUGCGUUUUCAUCAUUAAUGCCUAUGAAUCUUUGUUUGAUCUUUAUGCAUCUUAAUGCUUAGUGCAUUACUUUAAGUUAGGAAGUAUGUCGGACAGAUAUAAGAUUAGCCCACUCACACGGGUAAUCGCCUCUAUUUACUAUGUGAUAAAUAGAGAUGAGACUGUUUUUAAGCUUAUUAUCUAAGUGAUAAUCGAGAGCUCAAGCUUAAAACACGUAUGUCGCCUUAACUAGGUGUUAAGAUGAGGACAUAAUACUUACUAUGUCUGAAAGUAAAAUACCCCACAUGUUUUACUUUAUCUGUCUAUGAUGCCAGAUGUGAGUUCUGAUGAAUUUUGUAAAUGAGUAGAUACGUGAACUCAAGUUAGACAUUGGGUAUGUCUGAACUAUCAUCUGUACGGUAUUGAAAGUGUAGACAUACGCUCCAUGGGAAAGGAGUUAAUACCGUAAUACGUAUUUCAUACUACGUAUGCAUGAGACGACCAAUAAGAGUGGCAAAAGUUUGAUCUCAACUUUUUUAUGUCGUGUGAGACUCUUGAGGAAAAGAGUUCCUCAAUUUUUAGUCCCCUCAUGACUCUUACUUAUUCUCAAGAUUUCUAUUUAAUGUUUGCUAUCUUAGGAUGUUGCCAAUGGUCAUGAUUUUGAUUCGAUCUAAUGGGGCAUUUCUAGAAAAGCAAGCUGAACUGAAAUUGAGAGUUUGAAGGAAAGAGGAAGAUUGAUUUUGGAGAAUCACAUUGUAGUUUUGUAUUCACCGGUUAACCAAUUAUGAUUGUCUUUGGGAUAAUCAUAAUUGUGAAUACAAUAUAUAUAUCAUUGUUUGAAAAGAAAUCAAGAGAGAUAUAAAUGUGAUCGAUCGAUCUAGGGUACUGCAUACUAAAUCUACUCGAAGUGUGACGCUCAUUAUGAGCUGCUAUAUAUUCCUAACAGAUGUAUAGCAACGAGCUCUCAAAGUAUGCUGGUCGCACGGAUUAUUCACUGGUAUGAAUGUUGAAGAGAGAAAAAGAGAAUUAUGUUCGGCCCACCAUGUUAAGAGAAAGUCUAUGAUGGAUUUUUCUCUGAUGAGGCUGAGUAGGGCCUGUCCGCCCAUGUUGGUUUUGUACCACCAUGUGCGAGUGGGAGAUGAUGGAUUUAUGAGAUGGGCCUGAGUUGGCCCAUCCGCUCAAGUUGGGCCCAAAAGGGCCCGGCCCACGGGAAUAGGGCCCGCGGAAGGGGAAGGUAUAAAAAGGAUGAGAGAGAGAGAGAAAACAACGUUUAAGAAAGGAACGUACGUCUUCUCCCGCGCGUUCUCUCUUCCUCCAAAAAGGAACAGUAAGUUCAAGGCACUGUUUUCUCCCCUUCAAGGCGUCAUCGGAUCGAACGGGGCUAGAAUUUCUUCCUCUUCUUCGGCAUUGGUGUUUAAUCUGUGGCUAACAAGGUACGCUCGAAUCCGUGGUGUGCUUUACGAUCGGUGAUGCGUGAUUUCCCGGGCUUCGCUUCCGCAUUGAUUUAGGGGUUCGAUUUAGUGUCGAAUCCAGUUUUCGGGGAUCAGUCAUUCCCAACAGAACCCUCAUUUGACUCAAAGUUAACACCAGAGUCCUGCAGAGAUAUUAAGUACUUGACAGAUUCUUUAGUUGAUAGCCGCAGCUUCUACAAUACGCGAGUAUUGAUGAUGAAAGGAAAGGCAACAAAUCUAAGUCAAAUAUGCAGCAAAUCAGAUUUCGAGAGACAGCAGACUGAUAAAAAUGAAGACGCCCGUCAUCUUCUUAACUAUUGUGCUUCUACAUGUGUU
rnacentral:lncRNA from 1 species